AAUAAAUACAAUUUUGCACUAUUCACGUCCAACGUUUGACCGUUCGUUUUAUUUGAAAAAAUUUUAUGAUUACUAUUUUUAAUGUUAUUAGAUGAUAAAACAUGAAUAGUACUUUAUGUGUGACUAAUUUUUUUUAUAAAUUUUUCAAAUAAGACGGACGAUCAAAUGUUAGAUACGGAUUUUCACGGCUACACUUAUU
rfam:Oryza glumipatula chromosome 9, whole genome shotgun sequence.